ACUCAGACCGCCAGCUAAGGUCCCAAAGUCAUGGUUAAGUGGGAAACGAUGUGGGAAGGCCCAGACAGCCAGGAUGUUGGCUUAGAAGCAGCCAUCAUUUAAAGAAAGCGUAAUAGCUCACUGGUCGAGUCGGCCUGCGCGGAAGAUGUAACGGGGCUAAACCAUGCACCGAAGCUGCGGCAGCGACACUGUGUGUUGUUGGGUAGGGGAGCGUUCUGUAAGCCUGUGAAGGUGUACUGUGAGGUAUGCUGGAGGUAUCAGAAGUGCGAAUGCUGACAUAAGUAA
rnacentral:rRNA from 1 species